rnacentral:rRNA from 1 species
AGUGAACGCUGGCGGUAGGCCUAACACAUGCAAGUCGAACGGAAGCACAGUAAGAGCUCGCUCUUACGGGUGGCGAGUGGCGGACGGGUGAGGAGUACAUCGGAAUCUACUUUUUCGUGGGGAACAUCGGGGGAAAACUGCCGCUAAUACCUCAUACAUCCAACGGCAUAAAGCAGUGGUUAUUCGGACUUUUGCUGUCUGAUAUAGCCGGAGUCGGAUUAGCUAGUUGGGGGGGUAAGGGCCCACCAAGGCGACGAUCCGUAGCGGGCCUGAGAGGAUGAUCAGCCACACUGGAACUGAGACACGGUCCAGACUCCUACGGGAGGCAGCAGUGGGGAAUAUUGCACAAUGGGCGCAAGCCUGACCCAGCCAUACCGCGUGGGUGAAGAAGGCCUUCGGGUUGUAAAGCCCUUUUGUUGGGAAAGAAAAGCAGUAGGUUAAUACCCCGCUGUUCUGACGGUACCCAAAGAGUAAGCACCGGCUAACUUCGUG